rnacentral:rRNA from 1 species
GUGCACGCUGGCGGUAGGCCUAACACAUGCAAGUCGAACGGCAGCACAGUAAGAGCUUGCUCUUACGGGUGGCGAGUGGCGGACGGGUGAGGAAUACAUCGGAAUCUACUUUUUCGUGGGGGAUAACGUAGGGAAACUUACGCUAAUACCGCAUACGACCUACGGGUGAAAGCAGGGGAUCUUCGGACCUUGCGCGAUUGAAUGAGCCGAUGUCGGAUUAGCUAGUUGGCGGGGUAAAGGCCCACCAAGGCGACGAUCCGUAGCUGGUCUGAGAGGAUGAUCAGCCACACUGGAACUGAGACACGGUCCAGACUCCUACGGGAGGCAGCAGUGGGGAAUAUUGGACAAUGGGCGCAAGCCUGAUCCAGCCAUACCGCGUGGGUGAAGAAGGCCUUCGGGUUGUAAGCCCUUUUGUUGGGAAAGAAAAGCAGCAGGUUAAUACCCCGCUGUUCUGACGGUACCCAAAGAAUAAGCACCGGCUAACUUUGUG